AUAAAAUGCAUUAUUUUGAUGGACCAUUUUUCUAUGUUUAGAAAUCAAUGAAAUACAAAUGAUUGGAAUGUGAUAACAAAUAUGAAUGGGGUGAAAACUUGAGACCUUUACUGCUUGGAAAAAGGGAGUACUCAGACUUUCAUGCUUUAUGUUCUGGAAACUAACCUAUGUGAUACUAAUAUUAUAGAGAGAGUAAAUGUACUUCAUUCUUUUUAUGCAGCUCAAGUGACAUUGAGGAGAAACUGUGUGAUUAUCCAGCUGUACUGACACCAUUAGGCAGCUUGUUCUGGAUCACAGAUCUGGGAGAUUAGGUUUUACUGCUUUAAGGAUACCUGUGUUCCAAAGAUUUGCUCCAGUUUUCUGAAUGUGUUUUUCAGUAAAUAGCCAUUUGGAAGUGGGAACCAACUUUCUCUGGAAAUGAUAAAGAAAGGACUGGUCAAGCCCUUCAGUCCACUUGAAAACACUUUAGGAUUUCUGAAACUGCUGUCAGCGGCCUGGUGGAUGGCUCAUUUGACAUGUCUGUCAUGUUGUGAAGUGUGUGUAGGAGCUGGAUUAAAUGAAGAGAAGGUUGGCUCGUCUGACUGCCUACUGAGGAGCUUCAGGUCGGGAAAGCUUUCUCUACAUUAGGACUGCAGUAAUUGGAAGAGAAGAAAAGUAGAAGGCAAGGACAGCUUUGUGGUGAGGUAGGGAGAGGGAGGCAGCAGAGGCUGGAUGGAGGUGGCUGAAGUACAUAUGCUAUUGGAGUAUAGGAAUAUUAGUUCUUCUCAGUGCCAUAUUGGACUUAGAGAAAUUUUAAAGAAAUAAUUUACUGUCAGCUUUUUCAGCCUUAGACUUUUGGCACACAAAGUCCUCCUAAUGCUCGAAGGCAUUAGCUCUUCCUUCUUUUGGAAAGUUGAAGGGAGAAAACAGAAGUAGAGGAAUGAUGUGGAAGUAUCUGUCUGCCUUUGGAUAAAAAGAGUGAGACAUCUUUCCCUCCCCUCCUGAACCUGAGUCUUUUGUGGAGCUCACACUAAGUUAUAGAAAACUCAACUGAAUAAUUCUGCACUCUGUGGAUGUCAGCUGCUUUUUACAAUAGAUUUAUAAUGUUCCCAAAUACAGGUAAGCAGUGAAAAUUUCUGAUCCAUUUUUAAGUAAAAUGAGAGAGUUGCCCUUAAAAUUGCAUUAAUGAAAAGUCAUCCCUUUAAAAUAGAGGAGAGAGUUAUUUUUAUGCAAGUGCAGAUUUUUGAUGCCAAAACAAUAAAGAAAACCGCAGUUUGUUCCA
ensembl:lncRNA